rnacentral:misc_RNA from 1 species
UCCGAGUUGACCCCGGCAGUCUCCUAUGAGUCCCCGGCAUAACCCGCUGGUGACUAAGGGCAAAGGUUUCGCUCGUUAAGGGACUUAACCCGACAUCUCACGACACGAGCUGACGACAGCCAUGCAGCACCUGUACCAGUUGUACCCCGAAGGGCCUACCCUACUUUCAUAGGGAUAAUCCUGGCAUGUCAAGCCCAGGUAAGGUUCUGCGCGUUGCUUCGAAUUGAACCACAUGCUCCACCGCUUGUGUGAGCCCCCGUCAAUUCCUUUGAGUUUUAGCCUUGCGACCGUACUCCCCAGGCGGAAUGCUUAAAGCGUUAGCUGCGCCACUGACGAGCAAGCUCGCCAACGGCUAGCAUUCAUCGUUUACGGCGUGGACUAC